UAACUAUUGUUUGCUGAAAUCCACCGUCGACUGUUAAUAAUUCAGCUCGUUCUCGACGUAAGAGCAUCGGAUUGCGACGAGACUUGGUUCGUUGGAUUCGGGACUUCGAGAGAAAUCCACGAAGCCCUUACUUGCAAAUUUUGGUGAAGAGCCUGGAGUUAGCGCGAUCCUUGGGUUCGAAAGGCUACGAUCGACCCAGCAGGUGGCGCCACAGCUGUGAGAGUGUACCGCUGCCAGGGGAUAGCUUUCGAGAGCCACAGGUUCCGGUUGCUGCACCGUCCGUGGAUCA